rnacentral:rRNA from 1 species
UAACGAAUCUUCCGCAAUGCACGAAAGUGUGACGGAGCGACGCCGCGUGGAGGACGAAGUUCUUCGGAAUGUAAACUCUUGUCAGGGGAAAGAAAGUUCUGAUCUACCCCAGAGGAAGAGGCGGCUAACUCUGUGCCAGCAGCCGCGGUAAUACAGAGGCCUCGAGCGUUAGACGGAAUCACUGGGCUUAAAGCGUGUGUAGGCGGAAGGGUAAGUACCUUGUGAAAUCCCACGGCUUAACCGUGGAACGGCUUGGUAUACUGCUUUUCUUGGGCAAUCUAGGGGCGAGUGGAACAGAUGGUGGAGCGGUGAAAUGCGUAGAUAUCAAGAGGAACACCUGAGGUGAAGACGGGUUGCUGGGCUGACACUGACGCUGAGGCGCGAAAGCCAGGGGA